rnacentral:misc_RNA from 1 species
AACGCACAUUGCGCCUCUCGUGAGGGAGGCAUGCCUGUCUGAGCGUCAUUUAAACCCAUGGGCGAAACUUCAUUGUUUUGUCCGUUUUGGGCCUCGCCCCAUGGCGUCGCCUCAAAGUCAUUGGUCUCAUCCGUGGACGGGUCCCUGUAGGGCGGACCACGGUUUGACUUUAAGCAUUUCAGAGUCUGACCUCAGAUCAGGUAGGGACACCGCCUGAACUUAA